rnacentral:piRNA from 1 species
UGUAUUAGUGAUAAAAUUAUUGGCUGU